UUGCUUUAGCAGCAAAUAUACUAAAAUUGGAACGAUACAGAGAAGAUUAGCAUGGCCCUUGCACAAAGAUGACAUAAAUUUGUGAAGCAUUCCCUUUUUAU
rnacentral:snRNA from 1 species